UACGUAGGGUGCGAGCGUUGUCCGGAAUUAUUGGGCGUAAAGAGCUUGUAGGCGGUUUGUCGCGUCUGCUGUGAAAAUCCGGGGCUCAACCCCGGACUUGCAGUGGGUACGGGCAGACUAGAGUGUGGUAGGGGAGACUGGAAUUCCUGGUGUAGCGGUGAAAUGCGCAGAUAUCAGGAGGAACACCGAUGGCGAAGGCAGGUCUCUGGGCCACUACUGACGCUGAGUGACGCGGAAAGCCAGGGAGCAAAGCGGG
rnacentral:rRNA from 1 species